rnacentral:sRNA from 1 species
UGGCGCAAGAGAAUGGGCUGUCCCUCGG